rnacentral:rRNA from 1 species
AAAAGAAACCAACAGGGAUUGCCCCAGUAACGGCGAGUGAAGCGGCAACAGCUCAAAUUUGAAAUCUGGCCUCGGCCCGAGUUGUAAUUUGCAGAGGAAGCUUUAGGCGCGGCACCUCCUGAGUCCCCUGGAACGGGGCGCCACAGAGGGUGAGAGCCCCGUAUAGUUGGAUGCCCAGCCUGUGUAAAGCUCCUUCGACGAGUCGAGUAGUUUGGGAAUGCUGCUCAAAAUGGGAGGUAAAUUUCUUCUAAAGCUAAAUACCGGCCAGAGACCGAUAGCGCACAAGUAGAGUGAUCGAAAGAUGAAAAGCACUUUGAAAAGAGGGUUAAAUAGCACGUGAAAUUGUUGAAAGGGAAGCGCUUGUGACCAGACUUGCGCCGGGCUGAUCAUCCGGUGUUCUCACCGGUGCACUCGGCCCGGCGCGGGCCAGCAUCGGCUCCCGCGGGGGGACAAAGGCCCCGGGAAUGUAGCUCCCCAGGGAGUGUUAUAGCCCGGGGCGCAAUGCCCCCGCGGGGACCGAGGUACGCGCUCCGCAAGGAUGCUGGCGUAAUGGUCACCAGCGACCC